rnacentral:lncRNA from 1 species
UUACGUUGGACGUGAAUAGAGGAAGAGAUAUUCGAUCGGUUUUUUUUUUGGGGCGAGUUCCAAGCAUUGGAUGAAAAAAAAGACGGGACAAUGAAGAAUAAAGGGGGGAUUUUUUAGUUUUUGGACGCAGCGGGCAAAGAAAAAAAAAGGAGACUUCAAGAAACUUUGAAGAACGACGUUGUGGGAUUGCGAAGAGGAUUUUUUUUUUUUGAAGUGUUCAUUUCUCUUCCAUUACUCACAGAAAAAUUAUGGUGAUUUCGUUUAUGUUGAAUUUAAUUUUUAGCAUGAACUAAAUUUUCUUUAUUCUAGGAAAACGAUGUAAUCUAGUUCUAAACUAUGCUUGAUCUAUGCUAAUUUGAAGUCAUUUUUUUAUGUUUGUCUGAUUUAUUCUGAGCAUAGUGCUUCUAAUUAAUUGGCCACUAAUUAGAUGAUUUUGCUAUUGUGAUUUGCUAUCGAAAGAGGGAAUUAUAGGAUAGAUCUUGGAUAUUUUGGCAUAGGUAAAUAUAGAGAUCGAAAGACUUGUAUGAACCUAUAUAGUAUUAAAAUCGUUGGUCUUCUUAAUGCUUUCUUGCUUUAUUAAUUUGCAUACUCUUGUGUAAAAUGAUGAACAAGAAUAUCUCCAAUUGACUGUUGAAAGAGGCUUUUGGUUGAAUUUGGGGAUUUGCUAACAAACAGAGAGAAUUAAUUUCAAUUAGUUGGAUAAGUAAGGCAUAGUGAGGGAUUAGGUGAAAUCGAUUUCCUAGAAGUUUUCUUUCCCAUUGAUUUGAUCUUCGAGCAAUAUCUUUUUUUUCUUGUGCGUAUUUUUUUUUGAAUUAAUUAUAUUGCAAUUACAAAAAUCUUAGUGACUUUUCUAGAUAAAAUCAAGAUUAGUAUAAUUUUGGUAUUUGUCAAAAGUUAGUUACCAAUCUCUGAGGACGAUACUCUUCUCAUCACUUUACCAUAAAACUACGAUACUGUGCACUUGUAGUUUUGCACCGAUCAAUCAUCUUGUGGGAAUAGCCUCCACACUCCUACAACCAAUGUAGUGGCCCUCACAAAGCACAUAAGGAGACAAUUUGCAAGGCAAACAACCCUAUCUACCCUUUAUGUGGUCCUUCAACAAAACAAAUCCAACAACUUGGCCAUGCAUUAUCCAUGAUGACACCAAACAACACAAAUGGUAAUAGCAAUGCUUUUGCAAAUGUUGCAAGUUUGUACCAUUUUUCUAAUGUUUUAAUCAAUUUAGUUUUUACUAAGGAUUAGAUUUUGGAUUGCGAAGUAAUAGACCAUAUCACUUUAGAUUCCACACUUUUUACCCAGUUAAAGUCAUCUUCCAAAUCAUUAACUUACCUACUAGCUCCAUAGCCCUAAUUACUUCUUUUGGCAACAACCUAUUUAAUUUUAUCAUCACUCUUAAUAAUGUCUUGUGUGUGCCUUCGUUCCAUUUGAAUUUGAUGUCUAUUAGCAAAAUUACCAAUGCCCUAAGAUGUUAUGCCAUUUUCUUUUCUAAUUUUUGUAUCUUAUCGGACUUGGAUUUAGGGAGGAUGAUUGGCUCGGGUAAACAACAAGGUGGUCUUUAUUAUAUGUCCCCAUUACAACAAACACCUAUCUCUCAUCAAGUCUCUUAACCUCCAAACCUGUGGCACAUGGGCCUUGGACAUCCAUCACCACAUCGUUUGAAAUUAGCUUCUAAUUUGAUACCUUCAAAUGUAAUUUCCUUUGAUAAUAAUUGUAUGGUUUUCCCCAUGGUCAAACAAAGACGAUUACCUUUUCCUUCAAGUUAAAUAACAAUGAAGUCUGUUAUUUAUUUAUUACAUUGUGAUAUUUGAG